GUUCAUUGUGACUGAUAGCAAAAUUUAAAGGAAAGAUGAUGGUACGACCAAAGCUAUGUAUGUGGACAAGAGAUAUUACCCCUGUGUGGUGCUCAGUGAAAGUGAAGAUAAAGACCAGCUGAUAAAGACAAAAAAUGUCAUACAUUCAACAGCCAAGAAACAAGGUGGAUCAUCAGGAUCAGCCGGAAAGGAGAAGAAAGACAAACAAGCAGGGGAGAAAAAUAAGAGGAAAGGCCCUUCUGUUUCCAACGAUCAAACCCAGGAAGACAAGUUGAAAACUGUAAAGGAGAAAGAAGAGAAAAAAAUGGAAAAAAAUCCAAAGAAAAAGGCACUAGAUGAAAGAGAUUUGAACGUCCUUGGGCAGAUGUCACAGUUGAAUAGGUCCAUAGUCAUUGUUGACAAGCUCAGGAGAGAUACUGAAGGAAAAGAGAAGGAACUUGAGAGAAAGAGGGGUGAACUUGAGAGAAGGGAGAAGGAACAUACAAAGGAAAGAACGUGUGGUACAAGAACCAAACUUACAAGAAAGGAGAGAACAAGAGGAAGUAUUUCAAGAAAUGCGUCGCAUGGUGCAAGGGCCCUCCAGGGGGGGGGAGGAGGAGGAGGAUAAAGAUGACAAGGAGUAUGAUGAGGAAAAUUUUGAUCUUAGACUUUAGAAAAGGAAGUCCAAAGGAAAGAACAUGUGGUACAAGAAGAAGAGGAAGACUUUAGAAGAGUGAUGCCCUCAGACCAGGAAAAGUGUCAAGGGUUUUUGCUGAAAGACAUCAUAUCAAAUUACACCUCCAUGGCUCAAUUACCAUUUAUUAUUACAGUUAAUGAACUCCUCUACAUUUGCAAGAGAAUCCAAGUAUUGACUAAGUCUAUUGCUAAGAGAAUCAUGUGCUUUUUCAGGUUUAUUCACUGUUUACAAACUGAUUUUGAAUUUAACAGCCAUGUAUAUGAAUGUCACUAUUUACUGCUGUAAGAGAAGGGUGAAACACAGGAUUAAAGAAGUAUUGCACAACACAUAUUCCAUUACUGUUGAUGAAAUGAAGACAGUCCAAAUAUAUAUUAUUUUCUUACUUGUUAAAAAAAAGAGAAGAGCAGGGUAGAUUUUGAGAACAGGAGAUGUGGUGCCAUUUUUGCAUUGAUCAAAGGCACAGUUACCCAGGAGGGCUAGUAUGAAAAGGAUCAUGCCGCCAGUGGUGCUUGAAGACCUGGAUGAGUAGGUUUUUAUAUGGCUAGGUUGAUUUGCACCUGUAUGAAGAACAGAAUAAUUUUGUUAGAGUUUGUUGAAUUACAUUUAUAUCUCUCUUACGUCAUGUUUGGUAGAGUCAGCAGAAGUAGUAUUAGCCUUGAAUUACAAGAAAUGGUAAUUAAAGUCCAAGUGGUCAGUUCA